rnacentral:tRNA from 1 species
GCCGAGGUAGCCUAGCCCGGCCAAGGCGCCUGCCUCGAGAGCAGGUGUCCGAGAGGACUCGAGCGUUCAAAUCGCUCCCUCGGCG